CCUACGGGAGGCAGCAGUGAGGAAUAUUGGUCAAUGGACGAGAGUCUGAACCAGCCAAGUCGCGUGAAGGAUGACUGCCCUAUGAGUUGUAAACUGCUUUUAUACAGGAAUAAAACGAGGCACGUGUGCCUUUUUGCAUGUACUUUAUGAAUAAGGAUCGGCUAACUCCGUGCCAGCAGCCGCGGUAAUACGGAGGAUCCAAGCGUUAUCCGGAUUUAUUGGGUUUAAAGGGAGCGUAGAUGGGUUGUUAAGUCAGUUGUGAAAGUUUGAGGCUCAACCUCAAAAUUGCAAUUGAUACUGGUAGUCUUGAGUACAGUUGAGGUAGGCGGAAUGCGUGGUGUAGCGGUGAAAUGCUUAGAGAUCACGAAGAACACCGAUUGCGAAGGCAGCUUACUAAACUGUGACUGACAUUGAUGCUCGAAAGUGUGGGUAGCAAACAGGAUUAGAUACCCCGGUAGUC
rnacentral:rRNA from 1 species